CAGUCGCCGCGGUAAUACGGAGGGUGCAAGCGUUAUCCGGAUUUAUUGGGUUUAAAGGGUCCGUAGGCGGAUCUGUAAGUCAGUGGUGAAAUCUCACAGCUUAACUGUGAAACUGCCAUUGAUACUGCAGGUCUUGAGUAAAUUUGAAGUGGCUGGAAUAAGUAGUGUAGCGGUGAAAUGCAUAGAUAUUACUUAGAACACCAAUUGCGAAGGCAGGUCACUAAGAUUUAACUGACGCUGAUGGACGAAAGCGUGGGGAGCGAACAGGAUUAGAUACCCCGGUAGUCCCUGUCUCUUAUAA
rnacentral:rRNA from 1 species